rnacentral:lncRNA from 1 species
GGAGCAGUGAGGAGAACGGAGCCCCCCUCCCCCGACCCUCACACGCAGCCAUGGGGUUGGCAGCCCUGGUGGAACAGGAACACGGGGUGCUGCACGCCUCGGGACGCCCGUGGAAAUGAGAAGAACGAAGAUGCCGGCUGUCAGCGCCCACUCCUGUGUCCAGCGCUCAGCGCCCUGCGGGGCCGAGCCACGCACUCUGCAUCCAGACCAGGGCCUCGGGGCUCGGGCGGCAGCACCAGUGGUCAGGACGGGGGGCGGCAGAGGGGACCCGAACUUAAUUCGAUGACCACGGCCAGGAAGGACCUAAUACACAGCGAUCGACCCAACGAAGGGAGCCAGAUCGGCGCGGAUGGCUUCACCCCACCGCCGGGGAGUCAGGGAAUAAGAGGUCGAGUGGGGAGACAUUCAGCGCUGGGGACGGGGUACCUCAGCGUCCUUUCUUCCCGUUUGCAACAAAACGUUCAUCUCAAGGACUCAGAAAAGCAUGUGACAAGGGACAGCGUGGAAACUCGCCCUCCACGGUAACGCCAAGCCCAGCCCACUGCGCCCUGAGCUGCAGGAGCCCGGCCGUUUAUGGAAUCGCCAGUCCCCCCGUAGGCCCCGUGACGGCAGCUGCGUGCUCCGUCAGCCAUCACAGGAGGCGCCCCCUGAGCAAAGGCGACUUCCUGAACCCAGAGAACUCCCUGCAGCGCUGAGACACGGGAGGACUGGGCGGGAAAGGGUGAGGGCAGAGGGCCCACAGAUGGGCCUGUGAGUGCUGCGGGAGACGCCGCCGGCAGAGGUCAGAGACCCCAGAGAUGAACGAGAGCCCUGAUUCGGGGCCUCACCCUCUCCCCUGGUGCCCCGGUGCUGCUCACGGAAGCUGCGCCUUGGCUAAGGGGACCCCAACCCCAGGUCCCGCCUCUGCCCAGCUCACAUCACUGCCCCCUCCCCGUUCAGCCCAGCUCCCCUGCACCUGACGGCCCUGUAGCAUCCUCUGCCCCUCAGCAGAGGAUGGGGCCCUGCACCCUUCUGGGAGGCCAGGAUGGAGCUCCUGGCUCCUGGCUUCAGCCUGGCCCAGCCCUGGGCAUGAUAGCUAUCUGCAGGUGAUUAGUGAUGAAAGAUCUCUCUAUAUAUCUUACUCUCCCCACUUGAAAUAAACUAAUGAAGAAAUCUUUAAGGAUAAUAACA